UACGUAGGUGGCAAGCGUUGUCCGGAUUUAUUGGGUUUAAAGGGUGCGUAGACGGCUGUUUAAGUCAGUGGUGAAAGCCGAUCGCUUAACGAUCGAACUGCCAUUGAUACUGAAUAGCUUGAGUACAGAUGAGGUAGGCGGAAUUGACAGUGUAGCGGUGAAAUGCAUAGAUAUUGUCAAGAACACCGAUUGCGAAGGCAGCUUACUAAACAAAUAUUGACGCUGAGGCACGAAAGCGUGGGGAUCAAACAGG
rnacentral:rRNA from 1 species